UGGGGAAUAUUGCACAAUGGGCGCAAGCCUGAUGCAGCCAUGCCGCGUGUGUGAAGAAGGCCUUCGGGUUGUAAAGCACUUUCAGCGAGGAGGAAGGGUAGUGUGUUAAUAGCACAUUGCAUUGACGUUACUCGCAGAAGAAGCACCGGCUAACUCCGUGCCAGCAGCCGCGGUAAUACGGAGGGUGCAAGCGUUAAUCGGAAUUACUGGGCGUAAAGCGCACGCAGGCGGUUUGUUAAGUCAGAUGUGAAAUCCCCGCGCUUAACGUGGGAACUGCAUUUGAAACUGGCAAGCUAGAGUCUUGUAGAGGGGGGUAGAAUUCCAGGUGUAGCGGUGAAAUGCGUAGAGAUCUGGAGGAAUACCGGUGGCGAAGGCGGCCCCCCUGGACAAAGACUGACGCUCAGGUGCG
rnacentral:rRNA from 1 species